GCUGGGAGCAGGGCCUGGUCCACAGGGGGAACCAUCAAAGCUGGAAGGAGCCAGGGAUGCAGCCUAGGUUUUUGCUCCUGCGUUUUGGAAGGUGUCUAUCUCACAUUGUGGACUAACUGAAAUCUGACUUCAUUUAGAGAAGAAAAAUGUUGGAAAAGGAUCUCGUUGGACCUCAGUUUUCAAGGUGGAGAGGGAAGAAAACAGCCACUGACGUGAUUUUUCUGUGAGAAGCUUCCUCCAUGCCUGGCAAAGCCAAUCCCUGGAUGGCUCUGAGAACAGACCCACUGCUAAGCCAAUUAGAGAAGUUGGUAUCUGAAACUGAGGCACAAAAUCUAAAUGCCAAAGAAGAAGACCAUGACCCCAAGCAAUCUGUCAGAGGGACUGGAAUCAGUAAGGUGAAAAAGGUUGAGAGAACUUCAGGGUCUGAGAGCUUCCUGAGCUGGACACACUACUGCAGGUGCCUUGUCUGAAUAGCAGCACAGCUCCUGCACCAGAGCUGCUCAAGAAAUGAGAGUCUGAGUAGUGCAGAAUGGAUGCAAGGGAUGCCACAGGGCCGCUGAUAUUUCAAGAAAUGCUCGCUCUGCUGAUGAAGCAGGAUUUUGCAGAAGCUUCCGUGGUCUAACUCAGAGUUUCCAAAACUGAUUUCAAGUACACAGAUGUGAAAAUGUAGCAAUGGAAGAAAGAGUGGAACUACUGCACCUUGGGUGAAAAGCAAAUCCCACUUCCUGCUAACGCUGCAAGGCUGAAAACUCUGCCAAAAUCUAAUUAAACAGGGCAAUGACAGUAAAUUUUUGUCGCUUCUAGAAGAUAAACUGAAGCUUUCACUGUGCUUAUGGUCACGUCUGGAGUGAAAAAAAAUGCUGCCAGUCACCCCUCUAGGGCUGUCAGCAACCCACAAGGUCAGCAUUUGCUGGAGAUGGCAAAUGGAGAUAUUCCAGAUUUAGAGGAAGAGUUAAAAUCACAGCAGACAGCAGGUACAACAGAUACCUACACACCUGCAAUCAAGUACAAAAAAAUGCAUGUCUGUCACCUACUACUUAACAGCAUGACAGGUACUUGGCUUUCAAGCAUCAGCUGGCUGAGAAUGUCAAAAAAUGCUGACAAAGGAAUGUCUCUUUAGAAAUCUGGUAUGUGGAAAUUUCUUUAUGAUAGGGAAUAUAACAGCUCUGAGAAAACCUGGGAUUAGCUGGAAAAUAAUAACAUUAACAGAGCCCUGGACUCUCCUUCCUGAGGGCACAGGAGGAUUGAGAGCUGGGGAAAAAAUUAGGUAGUUCAGCUGAGAAGAGCUUGAACUGGGCUAUGUAUGGGUGGGCAGCACUACUCUGCCACUGAUUUCUGAAGAUUCAGAAAGUAGGACAAGAAGUCUCAUCACAUCAGAGCCCAUCCCUUCCAAGCUGUACUGAUACUGCACUGAAUAGAUGAAAUUUUAGCCAAAGGUGGACAAGGUUUGGAGAAAACUCAAGGAUGGUUACUGCUUUCAGAAUGGCAAACAUUUCAUCUGGGAGAAAUUCUGCACUGAUGAAGAUGAGCCAAGCCUGGAGUUUUUUUAACCAUAACCAUCAUGACUAUUUUUUCUCUCUACUGCAUAUUUGGUGUUGCUGCUUCAGAAAACUGUGAGUGUCUGAGCUGACUCAGCAACUGUUGUGGGAGAAGAGUACAAAAUUGGUGAGCAGUGAUGAGACAAAACACCCAGAAAGAACAAAAGCAAAACAUAGAGAUUUUAUGUCAGAUCAAUGCAGGAAUAACUAGUUAUUGGUCACUAACACAACAUAAUGAUGGCCAUAAACCUUCUGUUUCUUUAAAAUCUUUAAAUGGGCCCAAGAAAGUACCAGGCAAAAGUUUAACUUAAUUAGCAUUUCAGUGGCUGUAUUCUCAUCCAAUUUCUAGGCAAUAACAGAUGUAAGAGGUAGUAAUGCUAGUGCCUCACUCAUUCUCAUCAUAGCUCUCUUGACUCCUGUGAUUAGUAAGGAAGAGAUAUUUGCUUAUUAAGGAUUAUUAGGCAUAUGGAAGGGUGAUUGUUUCAUAACAAUUUAAAACACAAAAAAAAUAUAUCUGGCUUUCAUCUGCAGAUGGGGCAUGCACUGAUACACUACACAAGCUCUAAUUAUCCUCUUACAAUUAUAAUUACAGGAAUGCCACUUACUUGUGUUCAACAUUCUUGGUAGUGAACUAUUUACAUUCCCCUGUAUUCAAUAAUAAUAUUUGGUACAAGCCACCUCUGCAAAGUUUUCAUAAUCAGCACCACUCUGGAAGCAGCACAUCCAAAGGCCUUUAUGGGUCUGAGUGGAAAUCCUGAAUUUGGACCAUGAGGUAUUCAAAAAGGUCUAUUAGGAACUCUUCAGCCACUGCAGAACUCUUCACCUUUGACAGCAGAACUGACCCCACUUGGCCUUUCCUGCUGCAGGUAUUUUGGGGUUAAUCAGCAUAAUGACAUGAUAAUGGCCAGAAUAAAUAUUCAUGACCUGACUUGUAAGACCAAGUCCCACCACCAUGUUCCCCAUUAUCACAGACCUCUGAGAGCUAAACUAAAGGCUGUGAAUACUCCACAAAAAAAAAAAAGUCAUGAGAAAAGCUUCUGCCACCAGGGCCAAGCUCAUGACAUAGCCCUCAGAGAAGCAGCACAGCCAUGCAGUGACAGUGCAGCCCCAUUAAUAAACUAGUCUUGCUAAUAAACCACACCAGGAAGGGAGUUCUAGGAAGUUCUAGUUCUCUUUGCACACCAAGCAAAGUUGAAAUGCCCAGUGAAAUGAUAUCUCCCAGUAAGGCACUGAAGAAGAACAGGGGGUGGGAGAUGAGGUCAGUGUUGAGGCCAAUGUUCCAGAUGCCAGAGAGGAAAAGCCUGCAGCAAAUCAAGGUAAGGGGGGAAAAAAUGCCCAUUAAUUUUAGCUUUUCUAAAAGGGGAGCUCUAACAUAUCCUUGUGUGUCAAAGGAUUUUAUUUAAUGUAUUUAAACCCUAAACACUCAGAGCAGCUUUUAUUAAAAUUAGUCAAAAGCCUAACUCACUUAAAUGGGAGCAUCAUCAAGACUUUAAUGCGUUUGGAAGCUGUUACAUCUUUAUUAUUGACAAUUUAAGCUCAUGGAACCCAUUCUCAGCCUCUCUAAAGUUGCACUGAUUGCAUUUUCUUUCUUACAGCUGCUCACUCCAGAGGAACCAAAUAGCAACCCAGCAGCUUUUUAAAAAUGUUCUCUAAUUAUUAUUGUUAGCCAUAAAUGUGUUUCCACUUUCAGAGUAUAAAUAGCAAACUGAUUAUUUACAGCACUUGCUCCUGUUGAGAACUAGUAUAUCUAUCAGAGAGGUAAAACAAAUAACUAGGCUAUAAUUUGCAAUAAUAAACCCUACACAUCACUUUCUUUUUUCUAGGGAAAAAAAAAAGGCACAGUUGUACAGUUUCUGCACUUCUACCAUUUUCUAUAGGAUUCUAGUUUCCCUUGAAGGAAAAAAAAGUAUUUUAAAAUAAAAUAGGCUAUUCCCUGACAGUCACAUGUAAAGGAUUGCUCUGUUUGUGCAGCACUUGUGUGAGCUGAGCUGUGUAUUUUCAGAGCCUUUCACAUUGUGGAACACAACUUUCACUUUACUGGACCUGAAGUGAGAUAAAAUGCUUGGGACAUGACUUCAGUUAAUGUAAAUCAGACCAGCUCAAAGAUCAAUGAAAUGACACCUCUGUCCUCUCUUUCUGGAUCCUGCCAAGCAAUCCAUGAUUCUCCUGCCCUGUCCAGGAUGGUGGGAUGAGCUGCUGUGCCUUGUGAUGGACAACACAAACUGUCACUGGGGAUUAGGCAGAGCUACAGGAAAUUUCAAACAUGAUAUUUUCUUACUCUUUCUGCUCAAGUGAUGAACAGAACAGAGCAUUUCUGCAAUGCUCAGUACAGCGUCUGGAAAUGAUGCACGGAUCUCAGUUGUAUCGCAGCAAUGUCAGAUUCCAGAGAGAUCUGUUCUGGUAAACACAGUGCCAGGGAGAAGAACUUCUCCCUGCAGGACACAUGAUCAAUUACAGCAGCACGUCACACAGCCAGUGACUCAUUUCUAGACAGCAGACAGUCACCCACACAAGGCCUUCACACAUACUACUGAAAUGUCAUUAGGUAUUCUUGGCUGAUAAUAUUUCUCUUUGCUUUUCCUCUCCCUUUCAUUUUCUCCCUGCUGAGGCACAUGGAGGUUUGAUUUAGAAUGCAUUCCUCCUCCCUGGUCAUCCAUACACAGCAUGGACAAGCAGAAAGAUUAUGAGCAAAAGGAAAGUACUCUGAAAUGUUUAUGAUGACAAUUUAACAAGCAAAACCUGCCCAGUUGUGGCAAUUUUGAAUGUUUUCUCUGUCCCCUUUCCCCCAUCCAUGGCAUUUGAUAGAAAAAGAAAACAUUUCCUGUCUUCUCACAAAAGAUAUUUAAUCUUAAAUUUAAAAACUAAUCAAAUAGAACAAUGUCAAUAGCUAGUCAAGGUCACCUCUGUGUGCUGCUUUUGAUAUUUAACUCAGCUGUGACCUUCCUUGAUGAGAGAAGCAAUCAGGUGCAGCAAUAAGGGUUUACCAGAGCUUGCUGAACAUACAGCACAGGACAAUGAUGCUGCUUGGCCCAUAGAGUCAAUUAUUAAUUGUUCUUAUCCUAUCUGAUCUACAAAAGCAGAGGGUUCCCUGAACUUUUCCUUGCCUUUUUAAAUAUAAAAUUUUUACUAAUGGCUUGUUGAAGAAAAAUCCUAUUUUUCACCCUGACAUGCAGAGCAAACUAAAGUAGAUAGAUUCUGAAUAGCUAAUUCCUCCUGCUCCACAUUUUUUGUGUGAAGAAAAAGCAGGGAACUAGUCUUGCUGUAGCAACACAAUGAUGAACAUUGUUUGAAAUGUCUGGGUUUAUGAAAGCAGG